AGAGUUUGAUCCUGGCUCAGAACGAACGCUGGCGGCGUGCCUAACACAUGCAAGUCGAACGCGAAAGUCAGCAAUGAUGAGUAGAGUGGCGCACGGGUGAGUAACACGUAAACGAUCUGUCUUCGACACUGGGAUAACCGUUCGAAAGGAUGGCUAAUACCGGAUAAGCCCACGUCCUUGGGGAUGAGGGAAAAGGGUUG
rnacentral:rRNA from 1 species